ACGAUACAAGAACACCCUUUGGGACAAAUAUUGUACCCAAAGAAACCUCACAAACACUCUUGUAUAAUAUACACUCUAAUUUUUGGACACUGACUACCACUCACCAAAUUGUGAGUAACUCUCAAAAUUCUCUCUCGGAUAUAACGCAAAAGAAAUUGUGUUUGUGUUGGUGUUUUUAGCUUGCUCCCGAAUGGCCUUUAUAUAGGCAAAGAAUGUGGUGAAAAAGACAUGGUGGUGGGGUUGGUGACCUACCAAUUUGAACAAAUGAUGUGGUUGGUGACCUACCAAUUUGAACAAAUGAUGUGGUUGGUGACCUACCAAUUUGAACAAGAUUGUGGUUGGUGACCUACCAAUUUGAACAAAAAAUUGUGGCUGUACCUUUUAACAUGGUUGAGAGAUUAUUCAACAAAUGCAGCAGUAAAACGAAAAUUAAAACCUAGAAAAACUAGCGACAAAAUGCCACCAACAUUUUAGCCGAAAACUCAAUGAAAACAACUUGAAAAUCAGUCCAAAACAUAAAACAACAACAUUAAAGGGUAUUUAUAACUUUAGUUUACCUUGACGAGAAGGAGAAUGGAAUCCUACUAGCGUUGACACAGAUACACAAGAGAAGACAGAUUAUAAGCUACGAAGCCCAAUUUUUUUAUUAUCUAUUGAGUUUUGCGCUGCUCUGUAUAUAGUGUUAAUUUCAGAACGUCUUCACCGAUUGAGCAGCGGCCAGUUGCAGCGGAGCUCUAUUUGUUCGUGAUUCUUUCCCUCUUCUUUGCUGAAGUCGUUGUGCGUGUUUUGGGAUAGCAAUUAGGCGAGAGAUUGUAGGGAUAGUUAUGUGGGAUAGUUGGUUGACA
rnacentral:lncRNA from 1 species